AUGGACAUCCAAGAUCUCUUUCGCCGGCUCGGAACCGGGGCCAAAUUUGACGUGAGACGCUUCUCGGCAGAUGCAGCCAGAUUCCAGAAAGGAAAAAAGGAAGUACGACUUUGAUUCUUCAGAGGUGCUGCAGGGACUGGACGUUACUGGAAACAAGAAGUCUUUCUCAGGUGAGUGUGGAGUGUCACAAACACACCAGGAGCUCCAAAAUGAAGAGAAAAAAAGAAGAGAGUCUGACUGAGAGAAAGAGGGAGCAGAAGAGGACAGAGGGAGAAGGUAACAUCAGAAAUUAGUUCUGAAGGAGAAGGUACCACUAUACAGUAGAUGUCAUCUGUGGAUGCAAAGAUUGAAGAGAAAAAAAUGGAGGGAGAAAAUACACUAACUUCAGAAAAAUUGGAGCAUCUCAGAAAGGAAAAGAUAAACUUCUUCCGGAAUAAGCACAAAAUUCACAUUCAAGGAACUGAUCUUCCAGACCCAAUUACUAAAUUUCAGCAACUUGAUUAGGAAUAUAAAAUUAAUUCUCAGCUGCUUCAAAAUAUUGUAGAUUCAGGCUUCCAAACGCCUCCGCCAAUCCAAAUGCAGCUAUUCCAGUUAUGUUGCAUGGUCGGGAACUUCUGGCUUCUACUCCUACUGGAUCUGGGAAAACUUUGGCUUUCAGUAUUCCUAUUUUAAUGCAGCUAAAACAACCUGCAAAUAAAGGCUUCAGAGCCCUGAUUAGAUCACCGACAUGAGAACUUGCCAGCCAGUUUCACCGAGAGUUAAUAAAAAUCUCUGAGGGAGCAGGAUUCAUGAUACACAUGAUCUACAAAGUGGCAGUUGCAGCCAAGAAAUCUGGACCUAAAUCAUCUAAAAAGUUUGAUAUUCUUGUGACUACUCCAAAUCAACUGAUUUAUUUACUAAAGCAAGAUCCACCAGGAAUAGACCUAAUGAGUGUUGAAUGGCUGGUAGUAGAUGAGUCAGACAAACUAUUUGCAGAUGGCAAAACUGGGUUCAGAGACCAGCUGGCUUCCGUUUUUCUGGCCUGCACAUCUCCCAAGGUCAGAAGAGCUAUGUUCAGUGCAACUUUUGCCUAUGAUGUUGAACAGUGGUGCAAACUCAACCUGGACAAUGUCAUUACUGUAUCCAUUGGAGCAAGGAAUUCUGCAGUAGAAACUGUAGAACAAGAGCUUCUCUUUGUUGGGUCUGAGACUGGAAAACUUCUGGCCGUGAGAGAACUUGUUAAAAAGGGUUUCAAUCCACCUGUUCUUGUUUUUGGCCAGUCCAUGGAAAGAGCCAAAGGACUUUUUCAUGAACUCAUAUAUGAAGGUAUUAAUGUGGAUGUUAUUCAUGCAGAGAGAACACAGCAACAGAGAGAUAACACAGUCCACAGCUUCAGAGCAGGAAAAAUCUGGGUUCUUAUUUGUACAGCUUUGCUAGCAAGAGGGAUUGAUUUUAAAGAUGUGAACUUGGUGAUCAACUAUGACUUCCCAACCAGCUCAGUGGAAUAUAUCUACAGGACAGGUCGAACUGGAAGAGCAGGGCAUAAGGGAAAAGCUAUUACGUUUUCCACCGAAGAUGAUAAACCAUUAUUAAGAAGUAUCGCCAGUGUUACAACAGGCAGGCUGUCCUGCCCCAGAAUACAUAAAGGGAUUCCAAAAACUACUAAGCAAAGAAAGAAAAAGAUGAUUAAGAAGCCAGUGGAAAGGGAGAGCAUUAGUGCGACUCCAAAAUAUUUCUUGGAAAAAGCUAAGGAUAAACUAAAAAGGUCAGUAGUCAGAAUACCAAGAAGAAAGUAGCUCUUGAAGAUAGAAAUUAA